rnacentral:rRNA from 1 species
GACGAACGCUGGCGGCGUGCUUAACACAUGCAAGUCGAACGGAAAGGCCCUGCUUUUGUGGGGUGCUCGAGUGGCGAACGGGUGAGUAACACGUGAGUAACCUGCCCUUGACUUUGGGAUAACUUCAGGAAACUGGGGCUAAUACCGGAUAGGAGCUCCUGCUGCAUGGUGGGGGUUGGAAAGUUUCGGCGGUUGGGGAUGGACUCGCGGCUUAUCAGCUUGUUGGUGGGGUAGUGGCUUACCAAGGCUUUGACGGGUAGCCGGCCUGAGAGGGUGACCGGCCACAAUGGGCCUGAGAUACGGACCAGACUCCUACGGGAGGCAGCAGUGGGGAAUAUUGCACAAUGGGCGGAAGCCUGAUGCAGCAGCGCCGCGUGCGGGAUGACGGCCUUCGGGUUGUAAACCGCUUUCGCCUGUGACGAAGCGUGAGUGACGGUAAUGGGUAAAGAAGCACCGGCUAACUACGUG